rnacentral:rRNA from 1 species
GGGAUCUUCGGACCUUGCGCUAAAUGAUGAGCCUAAGUCGGAUUAGCUAGUUGGUGGGGUAAAGGCCUACCAAGGCGACGAUCUGUAGCGGGUCUGAGAGGAUGAUCCGCCACACUGGGACUGAGACACGGCCCAGACUCCUACGGGAGGCAGCAGUGGGGAAUAUUGGACAAUGGGCGCAAGCCUGAUCCAGCCAUGCCGCGUGUGUGAAGAAGGCCUUUUGGUUGUAAAGCACUUUAAGCGAGGAGGAGGCUCUCUUAGUUAAUACCUAAGAUGAGUGGACGUUACUCGCAGAAUAAGCACCGGCUAACUCUGUGCCAGCAGCCGCGGUAAUACAGAGGGUGCGAGCGUUAAUCGGAUUUACUGGGCGUAAAGCGUGCGUAGGCGGCUUUUUAAGUCGGAUGUGAAAUCCCCGAGCUUAACUUGGGAAUUGCAUUCGAUACUGGGAAGCUAGAGUAUGGGAGAGGAUGGUAGAAUUCCAGGUGUAGCGGUGAAAUGCGUAGAGAUCUGGAGGAAUACCGAUGGCGAAGGCAGCCAUCUGGCCUAAUACUGACGCUGAGGUACGAAAG